AGAGAGAGAGAGAGAGAGGCACUGACUGAUUUGGUGGGUCUUGUAGAACUCCAUGACCAUCUCAUUCUUCAUCACAGCAUCCCAAAUAUUCUUAUCACAGGCGAGAGAGGCAACAACGUCCUGCAUGAGACAUAAGUGACAUUGAUCGUCCGAAUUAAUGGGCUCCGCCAGUGAAUAAUUUAGAAAAUUAUCAAAAAAUAUGCAAAUAUCUAGAGAUAUUUUAAAAUCUUAAAAUCUUAAAUUCCAAAAUCAUGAAGUUUCCCAUAAAUAAAUGGUAAGAAACCCAGCCCGAUACAUGAACGUAAAUAGGAUAAGUGGAAAGUCAACCAUGGAUUUUAUCAUCCAAAAAGAUUAAAUGCUGAGAAAAAACAUGUUCUUUCAAGCUUUACUUCCUGAAAAACCGGGGAAUAUAUACAGUGCCUUCCAUGCUAUCAGGCACCUUAUUAUUUCUCUGUCUCCCCCAUUAAGACGAUUAGAUGAACUGGAGCUCUGAUUAUGGCAACAAUAGCCUAAGAACAGCCAUUUCCGGCAUUCACUGAAAUAGUCGGAGGGUUGACAUUGUCAGAGUCCGCAGAUUCCUCCCUUCAGACGGGAAGCUAAGAAAAGAUUCACUAAAAGAGAUGCUACUAGAUGAGGGCACCAAAAAGUCAACACUCAGGCCAAGGCCCUCUCUGAAAGUCAACAGCUGCUGCUUUCUUUUCUUCCGAUAUCACGGCAUAUCAACAGGGAUGAUCCGGCAGAAACAGAAACUAAUACAAAACGCAGCAGUUCUAAGCAAGAAUCACAGAAAUUUACUUUAUAAACAAAAAACUGAAGGAAGCUGCAGGAAACCCGUCAUGGAAAAUAAUCAUAAAAAAAAAACUUUGAAUUUGUAUUAUACGUCGCAUCAACCUGGGCUUGCGGGCUCGCUUGCAGAAAGGAAAAUGCCUGGACGACAUGCCUAGGGCAAGAGGGUAAGACUCCCACCAGCGCCUUCUUAGCAUCCGAGCUCUCCACACAGCUCGAGCCUGACGGCGCUGACAUGGCAUGUGCUGCUGAGCUGUCGAAGCCAGCAGCAGGAGGGGAGUACACCCUGAGAGCACCAACAGCAAGCGCAGAGUCAACGUGAUUCAGUCACGGACUAGGCGGCGUACACGAACGGACAAAUGAAUCAAGAAAUCUCCACGAUGCUCCAAGUCAACGUGGCAUUUCUUCGGCUGGGAUGAAUAUUUAUGCCAUUGCUCCCAGGUUUUUGCCCAAUUUAUCGAGAGGGUGGAGUGUUUUUGGGACUAAGAUCUAGAAAAAAAUUAUAUAUUGUUACCCGAUACGGAAAAAGAAAGUUUUUAGUUGACUUGAUCGAGCCCAUGGUGUUUGAUCAAGAAUUGAUGUGAGAGGAAAAAAGAUGAAGGAUAUGAUCGAGACGGGAAAUAGAAGUCAACUCGAUCGAAAUCGGAGAGACUCACUGAUCGAGGGCUUUCUUCAGAUCCUCCGUCGCCUCCCUGGCCUCCUCCAGGGUCGGGACGGGCCCGAAAACCAGCCUCAGCGGCGCCGGGCGCAUGGCCUCGGAGAGCUCCUCCUCCAUGCCGCCGGCGAACUCCCAAUCGUCGACCAUCGACGGCCCCCUCUUCUCCGCCACAGCGCCGUUGUCGCCGGGUGCGGCGGAGGACGACUUCACCCCCUCGGCGGCGGCGGCGGUGGCCUGCCCCGCCACAGACACCGCCACCGCCGGCGCCCUAGAGGACCUGAACGCCGCCGCCGCCUGAUCGACCCAGGGGGCGUGGGCGGCGCUGGACGCCGCCUUCGCCGCCUUCGCCGCCGUCCUCAUGACUCCUCCGCCCAUCGGCGAAUCUCCCGCAGACGUCCCCCGCCCCUCCCCCACCCAAAGCGAGUAAAAAGAUCAGCUUUUUCUGAGCAGCUUGCUUCCCCCAGAAGGAAGAAGAUAACUCCCAGAGCUGCUAACCCAAGGUAUGAAGCUAUCACUUCCCCGGGCCCAAAGCCCGAAAUAUCGGCCCGGCCCGCUUUCCCUUUAUCUCUCUCUCUCUCUACACGUUCCCCUUCUCUGGGCGUCCACGUCAGCCAUGCCAAGCGCGGAGUCAGAAGGCCCCGAACUGGAUUAAUAAGAAAGAAAAAAUAAUAUAUUAAAUGAAUUUAAUGGGUAUAAAUAUAUUAUUAAAUUUAAGAGGACUUUUAAAACUGGAAGCUCGGCCACCUGUGCCAUCCACGUGGCGAGAUGAUGGGGCCCAAACGGCGGCGCACUGGGCCUUGUAAUCCUUUUAUGGGCUGGAAGGCAAUGGGGGGUUAAUGGGCCGUUGAGCCCAUUAAUGUUGACAAUAUGGAGCCCAGCUCAGCUUUUGGCCCCGGGGACUCGGCAUGCAAUAUGGGCUUCACACGUCAACAGUCGGCCCAUUUGUUUGUCCAUGACGUGGCAUUAUUAACCCAUAAAAAACCAAUUAAUUAUUAUUAUCUCACGUCAGCCUUGUCAGUUAUCGGAAUAUUAUAAUUCCAUGGUAAUUAUUGGAAAAAUACCCCUCAACUAAUUCUUUUACAUAUCGAACCCCGAGAAUAUAAAUAUUUGUGAGAAAACACUAGUUGACUCUUGAAUUGUUCACGGGAUCUAGGAUCAAUGACUCUAAAGCAAACCCUUGGGGGCCCCACCGGCGCCCUACAUAUGACUUAUCCUAGCUAGAGAGAGAGAGAGAGAGAGAGAGAGAGAGAGAGAGAGAUGAGCUCUCCUUAGACGUCAUGGAACAGAGCUUAUCCUAGAGCGAGAGAGAGAGAGAGAGAUGAGCUCUCAUGAUCAUCAUGGAACAAAGCUUAUCCUAGAGAGAGGUGAGAGAUAGAGAUCAGGUCCAUUAAGUGAUCAUGCAACAACUCAUCUUCUAGACUUCUAGAGAGAGAGAGAGAGAGAUGAGCUCUACAUGGUCAUCAUGAAACAAAGCCUAUCAUGGGGAGAGAUGAGAGAAAGAAAUCAGCUCUACAAAAUGAUCACCGGACAAAACUUAACUUAUCCUCUAGAGAGAGAGAGAGAGAGAGAGAGAGAGAGAGAGAGAGGAGGAGAGAGAGAGAGAGAGAGAGAGAGAGAGAGAGAGAGAGAGAGAGAN
rnacentral:lncRNA from 1 species